GACGAACGCUGGCGGCGUGCCUAAUACAUGCAAGUCGAACGAACUCUGGUAUUGAUUGGUGCUUGCAUCAUGAUUUACAUUUGAGUGAGUGGCGAACUGGUGAGUAACACGUGGGAAACCUGCCCAGAAGCGGGGGAUAACACCUGGAAACAGAUGCUAAUACCGCAUAACAACUUGGACCGCAUGGUCCGAGUUUGAAAGAUGGCUUCGGCUAUCACUUUUGGAUGGUCCCGCGGCGUAUUAGCUAGAUGGUGGGGUAACGGCUCACCAUGGCAAUGAUACGUAGCCGACCUGAGAGGGUAAUCGGCCACAUUGGGACUGAGACACGGCCCAAACUCCUACGGGAGGCAGCAGUAGGGAAUCUUCCACAAUGGACGAAAGUCUGAUGGAGCAACGCCGCGUGAGUGAAGAAGGGUUUCGGCUCGUAAAACUCUGUUGUUAAAGAAGAACAUAUCUGAGAGUAACUGUUCAGGUAUUGACGGUAUUUAACCAGAAAGCCACGGCUAACUACGUGCCAGCAGCCGCGGUAAUACGUAGGUGGCAAGCGUUGUCCGGAUUUAUUGGGCGUAAAGCGAGCGCAGGCGGUUUUUUAAGUCUGAUGUGAAAGCCUUCGGCUCAACCGAAGAAGUGCAUCGGAAACUGGGAAACUUGAGUGCAGAAGAGGACAGUGGAACUCCAUGUGUAGCGGUGAAAUGCGUAGAUAUAUGGAAGAACACCAGUGGCGAAGGCGGCUGUCUGGUCUGUAACUGACGCUGAGGCUCGAAAGUAUGGGUAGCAAACAGGAUUAGAUACCCUGGUAGUCCAUACCGUAAACGAUGAAUGCUAAGUGUUGGAGGGUUUCCGCCCUUCAGUGCUGCAGCUAACGCAUUAAGCAUUCCGCCUGGGGAGUACGGCCGCAAGGCUGAAACUCAAAGGAAUUGACGGGGGCCCGCACAAGCGGUGGAGCAUGUGGUUUAAUUCGAAGCUACGCGAAGAACCUUACCAGGUCUUGACAUACUAUGCAAAUCUAAGAGAUUAGACGUUCCCUUCGGGGACAUGGAUACAGGUGGUGCAUGGUUGUCGUCAGCUCGUGUCGUGAGAUGUUGGGUUAAGUCCCGCAACGAGCGCAACCCUUAUUAUCAGUUGCCAGCAUUAAGUUGGGCACUCUGGUGAGACUGCCGGUGACAAACCGGAGGAAGGUGGGGAUGACGUCAAAUCAUCAUGCCCCUUAUGACCUGGGCUACACACGUGCUACAAUGGAUGGUACAACGAGUUGCGAACUCGCGAGAGUAAGCUAAUCUCUUAAAGCCAUUCUCAGUUCGGAUUGUAGGCUGCAACUCGCCUACAUGAAGUCGGAAUCGCUAGUAAUCGCGGAUCAGCAUGCCGCGGUGAAUACGUUCCCGGGCCUUGUACACACCGCCCGUCACACCAUGAGAGUUUGUAACACCCAAAGUCGGUGGGGUAACCUUUUAGGAACCAGCCGCCUAAGGUGGGACAGAUGAUUAGGGUGAAGUCGUAACAAGGUAGCCGUAGG
rnacentral:rRNA from 1 species